AGUGAACGCUGGCGGUAGGCCUAACACAUGCAAGUCGAACGGCAGCACCGUCAUUGCUUGCUCUUACGGGUGGCGAGUGGCGGACGGGGGAGGAAUACCUCGGAAUCUACUUUUUCGCGGGUGAGAACGUAGCGUGACUUACGCUAAUACCUCAUACGUACUACGGCUGAAUGCAGCGGGUCUUCGGACCCUGCGCGCUUGUGUGUGGCGAUGUCGGAGCAGCUAGUUGGCGGGGUAGAGGCCCACCAAGGCGACGAUCCGGAGCCGGUCAGAGAGGAUGAUCAGCCACACUGGAACUGAGACACGGUCCAGACUCCUACGGGAGGCAGCAGUGGGGAAUAUUGGACAAUGGGCGCAAGCCUGAUCCAGCCAUACCGCGUGGGUGAAGAAGGCCUUCGGGUUGUAAAGCCCUUUUGUUGGGAAAGAAAAGCAGCAGGUUAAUACCCCGCUGUCCUGACGGUACCCAAAGAAUAAGCACCGGCUAACUUCGUG
rnacentral:rRNA from 1 species